UACAGAGGGUGCGAGCGUUAAUCGGAAUUACUGGGCGUAAAGCGUGCGUAGACGGUAGCGUAAGUCAGAUGUGAAAGCCCCGGGCUCAACCUGGGAACUGCAUUUGAGACUGCUCUGCUCGGGUGCGGAAGAGGGAAGCGGAAUUUCCGGUGUAGCGGUGAAAUGCGUAGAUAUCGGAAGGAACACCAGUGGCGAAAGCGGCUCACUGGACCACAACUGACGCUGAGGCGCGAAAGCUAGGGGAGCAAACAGGG
rnacentral:rRNA from 1 species